UCUACUCUACUUGGCCUUCCUGUCUGGCCUCACUACGUCACAACCCUUUAACAAACAGUCUGGUAUCACUGCAAUCUUUGAGGCUUACUGAAUGUAUUUUAAACGCAGUUAAGUUAGGCCAUUAUAAUCGCCUAACUUAAUUGCCACCUAUUCGCAAAAGGGAAAUGUUCAAUUUUAAGUUACUGUGGGAUAUUACCUGGGUCCUAGCACAAUCAGAAACAGAUGUUGAUGGAUGUGAUGAAGAGGAUGAUAAGGAUGAUGAUGAGAGGACAAUGAUGACCCCAGUGACAACAAACACAUCCUGUCUGGUGAUGCUGGACAUCUGAAGAGAGUCUGGAUUGAAAAUGAGUUGGAUCUUUUGAAGGCGUGAUAACCUGGUGUGUUGAUAUUGCCCAGAUGCUCAGAGCAGGGAACACGGGUUGCUUUGGGGUAAGACUAUGCCUUAUAGCAGCACCAUAAAAUAUGACAGUUUCACUUGUGGUAACAAAAAUAAAAUACAGUAAGAAUGAGAGAUAAAAGGUGAAUUCAAGAAUGUCAGAUUGAUAGAAUGACAGAUGUAAAGCUGUAACCC